AUUCAGCUGACUAAUACCAAAUAGGACGAAACACGCGUCCUGGAU
rnacentral:hammerhead_ribozyme from 1 species